UACCUCUCUAUUAUACAAAAAAAGUUAUAUUAUAACUUUAAUUAAUAUAGCAACCAAUAUUAGAGUUAUUUUGUAAAUUUUAAGAUGGAUAGAAAGAGGCUUUUUUAGAUAUCAGAUGAAGAGCCUGCAUUGUGAAAAAAGUCAGAGAAAAGAAUAAACGAAAAUGCAAAGAGUAUCACGGCAAGAAAUCAAAGAACCAAGAAUUAGAGAUACAAUAAAUGGAAGAGCUUAAAUAUUUAAAAAGAUACGGUGAACAUUUUCAAUAUUGUAAUGCUUCGUCAGGUUUGACUUUAAAAAAUUAAAAGAUUAUCGAUCUACAUAUUAUAGCAAGCAGUACCUGUACGGUCAGUAUGCCUACAACAUCGAUAUCGAAAGUUUCAAAAUUUAAGAUUUAGUGUUGUAAUUUGAAUAAACCUCUUGAACGAAGUAUGCACCGAUCAAUUCAGUGGAUGUAGAGAGUAGUUUUUUGUACAAAAAAAUAUUCCAUCCGACAAUAUAGAGUCAAUUUCACUACAACAAAUCUAGAGAAAUACAAGCAAGCAGUACCUGUACGGUCAGUAUGCCUACAACAUCGAUAUCUAACGUUUCAAAUUUUAAGAUUUAGUGUUGUAAUUUGAAUAAACCUCUUGAAUGAAGUAUGCACCGAUCAAUUCAGUGGAUGUAAAGAGUCGUUUUCUGUGUAUAAAAAUAUUCCAUCCGACAAUAUAGAGUCAGUUUCACUACUGCAAAUCUACAGAAA